rnacentral:rRNA from 1 species
AUGCACGCUGGCGGCGUGCCUAAUACAUGCAAGUCGAGCGAACGGACGAGAAGCUUGCUUCUCUGAUGUUAGCGGCGGACGGGUGAGUAACACGUGGAUAACCUACCUAUAAGACUGGGAUAACUUCGGGAAACCGGAGCUAAUACCGGAUGAUAUUUUGAACCGCAUGGUUCAAAAGUGAAAGACGGUCUUGCUGUCACUUAUAGAUGGAUCCGCGCUGCAUUAGCUAGUUGGUAAGGUAAUGGCUUACCAAGGCAACGAUGCAUAGCCGACCUGAGAGGGUGAUCGGCCACACUGGAACUGAGACACGGUCCAGACUCCUACGGGAGGCAGCAGUAGGGAAUCUUCCGCAAUGGGCGAAAGCCUGACGGAGCAACGCCGCGUGAGUGAUGAAGGUCUUCGGAUCGUAAAACUCUGUUAUUAGGGAAGAACAUAUGUGUAAGUAACUGUGCACAUCUUGACGGUACCUAAUCAGAAAGCCACGGCUAACUACGU